UUCAUUCCAGAGGAAUUUAUUCCAGAAUAAAGUCACUCCCCAUGCAUUAUCAAGACUAGGCUUCCUGCUCAGUCCCCUUCUAGCCUGUCAGGCCUGUGCUGGAGCAGCCUGCUUUUAAAGGAAUGUGAGACCAGCCAGGGACUGACCUCUGCAAGGAGCUGCCAGCAAAUAGAACAGCACUCAGCCAGUGUGGCCCACUGGAAACAGCUCAGGGUUCCUCUAAGCUCACAGAGUUUCUCUCACCCAUUGAAUCAUCAUGUGAAGUGGACUUUAAUAUUUACUCCCCAUCCAGUUUAAGCAAACUUUUCCUUCCUUCAAUAGUUUUAGUCUGUGCCCAUGGAGCAUGGAGGUGGCUUCCUGGGAUGGAGGAACUGAGCUCAUGCCACAUGAAGGAGUCUCCAUUUCUACUUGCCUCAGCCUCAGAGGCCAAAAUCGUUCACAUGAAAGGCAGAUUAUUGCAAAUUAAUUAAGAAAAUGAGCAUGAAGGAACUGCACAAGUAUUUACAAUAGCAUGGUGAAAGAGGGAGCCCAGGGACAAGGACAAAGGGCUGGUGGCAAGAGGAACCCCCUAAGAGUGAUGGGAGCAUCAGAAUCCUGAAAGUGAUUUAAGUGAAAAUACACUUAAAUGUUGGUCAAAGGAAAUCCUAAGGAGAAAGAAUUUUCAUGGGUAUUUAUCUGGAGUGUCUCACCUGGAAAAGGAUCAAGGAACAUAACCUUGAAAUAAAGCCCUGCUAGCUACCACCCAAAAUUUAAUAUGGACAACCAGCUUUAUGUUAUAUUUUAAAAAAACAACAUGGUGCUGAGUGCUGUAAUGUUUACAGAUGUAUUUUUAUUAAAUUUACACCUACAGUUUUUUGUGAAAUCUCACAAGUGACAAACAAAGGCCUACUAAGUCAGCUGAAAACUGCACAGAGGAGCCAGGCUGGGAUGUUCUUGCUGUUGUUGCUUCUUGUUGUUCUUGUUGUUAAGGAUGGCAUGAACAAGGGGGAGCAAUGAAUGCAUUGUCUUUCAUUGCUGGGUAAGAGCUCUGAAGGAGCCCAGACAUGCCCAAUCCAUCAGAAGAGAAAACAAGAGGACUGCAUUUAAUGUUCUCUCCAGCAGGCAAAAGAGGAUCAGAGACUAUAAGAAGAUGUCACAGGGAAGGCAGAAGUAAACACAGAGACAGCUGGAGAGCUCCUGGAACAGGGAAAGAGCAGGAAGGCGUGAGGCUGGGAAUUGACUGAAUCCUCUGUGCAGUCACUCUGGUCACAGUUUCUCCUUUCUCCCUGGAAUGGACAAGCAGGAAACUGGGUUAUGCUCCCUCAGCUUCUGGCUGCAUGAGCACAUGCCCAGGGAGAGACUGCAGCUAGACCAGGCGGAGAACAUAUGGGAUGACACAAUGUGAAUAAAUGGAAAUUUUGCCCAGUUCAAACUGUCAGGACAGAAGACAAGGUAGGAGCAUACAGUAGGGUUAGAUGUACUCCUGACUCUAUGCAAUACAUAUGCUUUAAAUGCCUCAGUCCUAAAAGCUCAGUGUUCUGAAAGCAGGCUGUCCCUUGUCCUCUCAAACAGGCACAUCUUUCCAGUACCGUUCCUCUCUUGGCACAGGGGGACAGAAGAACAUCAGAAACUAAAGCUCCAGGGCAGCUGGAGUGAAGAAAGGGAACCCAAAGAGAGAAGAAGCAUCUCCCAGUGAACCACAUGGAAGAGUAGAGGCAGAAGGAUGCAAGGGGGAGAAUGGGAGAUAAAGUUAUGAUGAAUGUUAUGGGAGAGGUAAUUGUGUCAUUGAAGGUCAGAGAAGAAAUGGGCACGUGCAAAGAGAAGCCAGCAGCACUGGAGGAAGAGGAGGAUAUGCAGGAAGAAUUGGGCAAUGAGAUCUCCUUGGAAAGAUGAGUGGUGUUGGGGCAGUGGCUUUCACAGCAGCCUGGGAGGGAUUUACAGCUCCAUGACCUGCACUCACAUCUGGCAGCUGAUGCUGUCUUGGAGGUACAAACCUACAUGUCCCAAGUUGUGACUAUUUCCUCUGGGCAACAAAGAAGCUCAGAAACUAUUGCUGCUCAUGCUGAGGGGUUUGGCACUGGCAGGAGCUGUUGUCAUGUGCAUUUACAAAGGUCCCCACCUCCAGCAGUACCCGAGCACACCAGGAACUCGAGUGAGCCGAGGCAGCCAGGUGCACAGCUGCCUACAGCGUGUGAUGUUCACUGCUAACAAUUUUGUAACUCAUUUGAGACAGCCCCUGCCCGCUCUGUGUACUGAGGGGAAAGCUCCCAGCACACCCAUUUAAUUCAUUUUCAUAACAGGAGAUUAUAACUUCCAAAUAUUUGUCAAGAAUUCUCAAGAGCCACGCCAGAAAUUAUUUGUACGUCAGAGGCACUUAUAAAGUGCAGGAGGAUGCCUGGAGAAGCUGAGGUUUAGAUUGCAAAUACUGUGGUAUCAUGACAGCUUUUCACUGAGAGUUGCAGCACGUGCGUUUGCACUUCUAUUAUAAAACCUUAUUCAGCUGCUGAAGGGGCUAAAGCCAUUCUUAGGUUCUCUAAAAGAUCUUUUUAAUUCCUAGCUCUCCCUGUGGGAGGCUGGAGGCCAGCUAUUCUUUCCACUCGAAGAGUAGGUACCUACAAUUCUUGACAAGCAAAGUUCUUUGUAGGCAGAGAAAAGUAGGCUAAAUGCAAAAAAUGCCUGUGAGGAGUUUUUCAGCACAUGCAGAAACUGCGAAUUGUUGGUUCUUAUCCUAACUUGUCACCCCAUUUCUAACAUAUGCUAAAGAUGGUUAUUCUUGAAGAAAAGACCUUUAUCAUAAGAAAAAAACAAGACAAAACAAAAUCAUAUUUAUAUUUCUCAUAACAGAGUAUAAAUAAAACUAUGAAACUAUUCAGCAAAGGCCAUUUUAAAACGUUUUUUAAAUGUGUUUAAGAGCUCACUUAAGACAAUUUAAAAUAUUCACUCAUUUAUGUGUCACUGGAUGAAAAGUAACCCCUCUAGAACAAGUUUAUAACAAUCUUCUCCAAGUUUUGUGUCAAUGGUGUUCUCAGGUAUAUCCUGGAC